rnacentral:rRNA from 1 species
GGAGUCUUGUCGUCCCGGAUGUUAACGGCGGACGGGUGAGUAACACUUGGGUAACCUGCCUGUAAGACUGGGAUAACUCCGGGAAACCGGAGCUAAUACCGGAUAAUUCCUUGAACCGCAUGGUUCGCGGAUGACAGACGGUUUCGGCUGUCACUUACCGAUGGACCCGCGGCACAAUAACUAGUUGGUGGGGUAAUGGCUCCCCCCGGCCACGAUGCGUAACCCACCUGAGAGGGUGAUCGGCCGCACUGGUACUGAAACUUGGCCCAUACUCCUACGGGAGGCACCACUAUGGAAUCUUCCUCAAUGGAGUAAUAUCAGACGGAGCAUCGCCCCGUGAGUGAUAAAGGUUUUCUGAUCGUAAAACUCUGUUGUUAUGGAAUAACGCGUGCGACAGUAACUGCUCGCACCUUGACAGUACCUAACCAAAAUGCCGCGGCUAACUACGUCCCAGCAGCCGCGGUAAUACAUAUGUGACAAGCGUUGUCCGAAAUUAGUGGCCGUAUGGGCUCGCGCGCGCUUUCUUAUGUCUGAUGUAAAAGCCCCCGCCUCAGCCGGGGGAGGGUCAUUUGAGAAUCUGGGGAAACUU